AUUCGUGAUCAUUGCAAGCAGACAACUAGUCAACGUAAAGAUCUAAAUCGUGACGAAUGAUAAUGGCCGGCAGGCAUCCGUAAAGACGAGUAAACUCAUCUCGCGCGGUUGGUCAUCACGCGGCGCAUAGUCGAUACGCGUGGAUCAAGUUACAACACGAAUCUUAAAACAUGAUAGUCCACGCCCCUCUCGGUACCACCCGGCCGAUGCCACGCGAUCCAACGUCGCUCGAUUCAUUUCCUCCUCGACUCUUCCCAAUCUAAUCUUUUUAUUUUACGAUUGUUCAUUUACCAAGAACCCUAAUUAUUCCUCGAUCCCAUUGUGGGAAUUCACCCCUUCUCGUUCAACUCCUAUGAUGCGAUCUCUUCUCGCAGCAUUGCGUCGGUCGGUUCCCACUCUCGUCUCCAUGGCGCCGCUCAGGAACGCGACCGGCCCGAGCGACGAGGAGAUCGCCGUCGCCGUCGCCGUCGACAGAGAUGACUCGCCCACGGCCAAGAAGCCACUUAGGGCUGAGUCGAGGAUUCCCCUGUUCGUGAUCUUCUCGGUCGGCCUGCUGUGCAUCUUCCUCACCAUGCCCGAGGCCGAGCACGAUACGAUCCUAAGGCUAACGCGGCACCUCUCCGUCCUCAACCCGAAGCAAAAAGGACCUUCAUUUAUGAUUUUUCCUGCUGGACACGUAUGUUCAAUUGUAAUUAUAUCAAAUGCACUCCGGAAGGCCUUCUAUUGAUGUAAGUAGAUGUUCAUGAUACCUGGUACCGCAUUCUUGUUAUUACUGGCUGGAUCUCUUUCGGGGUCAUAAAAUGUGUUAUUCUGAUAGUUCUCUGUGCAACUUAUGGUGCUUCAUCCUGGUACUUCUUUGUGCAUAUACUUGUUUCUGUAUGUAUGAAACGGAAGUAACAUAAUUUAGCUUGAAUUUCUUAUUAGCAUGAUUGCGAAAUCUUCAUUAUCAAAAUUUUUCCCUUGUCAUUUUUCCACAAAUGUACAAACUGCAUUUAAGAUGAGAAAAUUUGCAGUAUCCACUAAAAUCCUUGCAAGUCCAUAUGCCUUUUCUGGAUAAUCUUGUUGCACCUGACUAUUUAAUUGAACAAGGCUCUGGUGAAUUAUUGAAUAAUAUCUUAUUCUUUAUUUGACUUUUCUGGCUUGUUUCUCAUUUUCUUUAGAUCAAUUUGACUUGAUGGUUAGACAACCUUACAUGCUCUUGACAAUAAGAUGUUUCUAUACUCACUCAUGUACCUUCAGGGGGUCCUUGCUCGUUAGGGAUCUAUAUGAUUUCGAGACAUUGGUAAUUCUAUUCCUUAUCGGAUUUGUUUCCAUAUUUCUCGCAAUUUUGAAUCCCAAUUUGCUUGGAUAUUUUGAUUCUGUUCUUGGCUCUAUUACUUCAAUACAAGUUUCGUUUUACUGCAAAAGAAAAAAGAGUUGUAUCGAUCUUUUUCUCUUCCGAGAAACAUAUUGCUCACCCUCACAGGAACACCAGGAAAAGGGCGAAACAUAGAAUGCUGUUUCAUAAACAUAUCCUUUAUUAGGAGGUAGAUUGUAGAAUCACAAUGCAAUAUUUGGUUGGUAAAUCAACAAUUGAAUUUUUCGUUGUCGUAGAUAUUGUGGCUUGGGCUGGUGAUUGGUUCAUGUGCUACCGGUGCUGAGUGUUAAUGACAGUGAUAGUUAGAUGGGAACCACUGACAACAAUGGACGAUGUGACCAGGUUGUAGACUCCCUCUGGAGUUCGCGAUGUGGUUCGAUUAUAUUUAAUGGUUGUAUAUGGUCAUGGACUUCCCAUAUCGUAGAGAGAUGAUGUCUUUUCUUUCUUUGAUUGUUACAGCACAUUACGGGUUGCAGCGGACCUGAGUCUAACGUCCGAACUUGUGGCAAAUUUGGGAGCGGAGAACAUGGUGGUUCGGUGGGAUGCUCUACAAAAAGUGUUGGGACGCAUGCGAUAAAAUUAGUAGAGCAAUUAAAUAUUAUGUUGUAUGAGAGUUAUUUCACAGGAUAAUUACGUGGAAUCGUCGGUUCAUUACUCGAUCGUAUGAUUAGAUGCUCGAGGUGGUGUCGAAUCUGCCAUGGCACUGUGAUCGAUGUGUCAGAUCGAUAAAAUAUGUGAUAGAUGAUGAUGGUAUCAGAUUGCAAAGCAUGCUGCUAUAACUCAUCGUCCUAAAUCUGGGCUCAUCAAGUUUGACAUCGUUCAUGGACCGCUUCCGCUUCCAGCGUAGGCAACCCUCCAUGGAGAUCUAUCAGGAGAAGGAAAACUUGUGUACAGACCUCCACUGAACUCGAGUCUGUCCGAAUGUUACUUUUGCUUUACAUCAUCAAAUCAAAGAUGCGAGCUUGUGGGCUCAAACACACUCACUAUAUGCCGGUUUUGGUUAACUCAUAGACAGGAGUCCGGUGUGCACUGCUCUCUGCCACCGUCAUCUCCAAUCCAAGUGCCCGACAACGUCGACCCAACUUGCCAUUCUUUUGCGCCACUUACCCUCGUCAGCCAAACCAGCAACCGGCGCAGGUGGUGGGCCGCUGCGCAAUUAUGACUCCCGGAGAACAGGGAAUAGCCUUCUUCCUCUUCCUCUUCCUCCGGUGAGUUCAACAAGGGUGAUGGUCCCUGGGGGACGGGGGAAGGAGGCAGGACAGGAGAUCUCCGCUGGAUCUCAAGUCCUUGUCCGGGUCUUUUUAAGGUGGACGGACGCUUUGCUGGAUUGCGUGCCGGGCGCGAAGGGGAAGGGGAAGCGGGGUGGCGGACGCAGAGGCCGAGGCAAUAACUUGGUGGCGAAAGCUUUCUUAGAUGCCUCCCAUUGAGCUAAUAAUGGUUUGUGGUGUCUUGCGUUCCGUGGCGAGUGGGUGAGUGGGUUGGGCGGUGGAGAUGACCUCAUCCGAGCUUUCCAACGGAGCGGUCAACCUCCCGGAAGGACCCAAUCAAUAUAUAUAUAUAAUACAAGUAUUAUUGCGUUGCAAGUAGCCUUUUUUUCUUUUCGGGCAAAAGUGCCGUGGGAUGCUCGUCUGUCCAGGGUGUGAGGUUUUGGAUGGAUGGGUUGGAGAGCAUGUACUUACUUCUCAGGAACCACUGGCCCUUCACCAAUCUGUUCA